GACGUAGGGCGCGAGCGUUGUCCGGAUUUAUUGGGCGUAAAGAGCUCGUAGGCGGCUUGUCGCGUCGGCUGUGAAAACCCGGAGCUCAACUCCGGGCCUGCAGUCGAUACGGGCAAACUGGAGUGUUGCAGGGGAGACUGGAAUUCCUGGUGUAGCGGUGAAAUGCGCAGAUAUCAGGAGGAACACCGGUGGCGAAGGCGGGUCUCUGGGCAACAACUGACGCUGAGGAGCGAAAGCGUGGGGAGCGAACAGG
rnacentral:rRNA from 1 species